rnacentral:misc_RNA from 1 species
AUUUUUCAAAAAAAUUUGCAUAGCAAUAGGCCCUCACCAUUAUGCUAUGGCCAUUGUACACUUGUCUCCUUUACCGAUUUAAAUCCAUGACCUGGUCACAUCCAACAAAAGCACCAGGCACUUCCUCUAACUAUGCAUCCCUAACAUGAAGAAGUUCUCAUUGCUUGUAAUUAUAUACUGCAGCUAAAUGCAAUAUAAAGAAAUUCUAUUUCUCACUCAGAUCAUAUUGUUCUUAUAGUGGCACUGUGGCAUUUGGAUUUUGUUCUAUUUCUAUUUUAAGGAAUUUGAGAACCUUCUCUUGAUUGAGCCCACAUUUUGAAAGUAAAAGAACGCACUUUCAGGCAAGUUCAUAUAUUACUUGCAUUAUCUAACACAAUGUUAAUAACUUGGAAGGGAAGAAAAAUGUCAAUCUUAUUCUUUUUCUCCUUUUUUUAUUGGGUCAAGGUCUAGGUUAUAAAAUGGAUACUUGACUUUUGAUGCCUAGAAUGCAUGCCAAAGUGAUGAUAUAUCCAAGCCAACUCAAACAAUUAAAAGAAGUACAGAAUCAUUAAUUAGCAUUCAAAUCACCUGCUCAUUUUUCUCAUCAAAAUGAAGCUUUGUAAUUGACAUCAAUACACAUUAUUGUCGACAAAUUCAUUAACAGUCAAUUAACAUUUACUUUAAAGUUGGCCCAAAUUCACACCAUAAAUCUGGUAGUGGAAACCCUAGUCCUCGAAACAAAAGGUCACCAAGGGUUAGCAGGAAAAAAAAA